rnacentral:sRNA from 1 species
AUGAAGGUGAAUGAUCGGGUAACCGUUAAAACGGACGGCGGUCCCCGCCGACCGGGCGUGGUACUGGCAGUGGAAGAAUUUAGUGAAGGCACAAUGUACCUGGUUUCGCUGGAGGAUUACCCGCUCGGCAUCUGGUUCUUCAAUGAGUCAGGUCACCAGGAUGGUAUUUUUGUCGAGAAGGCGGAGCAGGACUAA